rnacentral:tRNA from 1 species
GGAGGAGUAAUCAAGCCUGGCCAAAGUAAGCACAUUUGCUUUCAGGAGUUCGUGGGUUCAAAUCCCACCUCCUCCA